GGAGAUAUGGGAAUUUCAGAAAAUAUACAACCUUAUUUAUUUGUAUUAUACAAUCAUACAUACUACUUGUUAUAAAAUGCAAAUUACAUAGAAAUGUUUAAAACAUUGCAAAAAGGAAAAUGCCUUCAUCAAAAACUUUUUUUUAUCCUAUCCUAACCCUUUCCCGAAGGCUAAGUACAUUGUUAAAAGUUCACUAUGCAUUUGUAAGGGCGUGCAUAUUUGUAUAUACGUGUAUGUACAUUUACAUAGUCACAUGAGAAACUUGCAUAUUAGAAUCAAUGGGUUUGUGACUAAUAUAAAUAUUAAGAAAUAUUAAAACAACACACACUAUUUUUUCAAACUUUAUUAGCCCUGUUAAGAGUAUGUCAGGUUGCAAUAAGAAAUUAAUUCCCAAAUUUGAAUAGAUUAAUAAAACAGAUUUAUUUCUCACUUAGGUAAUAGUAUAAUGCAAGUGAGUCAGGAACUCUAUUACAUAAAUAAAGUCAUUCAGCACCUCCGACUGACAAAGAUUCCACUUUUUGUAGUUGUAUCACUUAAAACAUGUAGCCUCUUUUCUAGGCUUCAGCCAGGAAGUAGCACGCUUUACUUCCCUUUACAGCACACAUUGGGCAGAACUGGUCAUAUUUUCUUGCCUUACUACAAUGGUACAGAGAUAUGUUGGAAAGCACAUUUGUAGUCACCAAGCAGUAAACAACUCUCACAUGCUGACUCACAAGCACAUCAUACUACUUGUCACGUGUGUCCGUGUGAAGAGACCACCAAACAGGCUUUGUGUGAGCAAUAAACUGUUUUAAUCACCCGGGUGCAGGCGGUCUGAGUCCGAAAAGAGUGUUAGAGAAGGGAUAUAGGGCUGGGGCUGUUUUAUAGGAUUUGGGUGGGUAGUAGAAAAUUACAGUCAAAGGGGGUUGUUCUCUAAUGGGGAGGGGCAGGGGUCACAAGGUGCUCAGUUGGGGAGCUUCUGAGCCAAGAGAAGGAAUUUCACAAGGUUAAUUGCUCAGUUAAGGUGGGGCAGAAACAAAUCACAGUGGUGGAAUGUCAUCAGUUAGGGCAGAAACUAGCCAUUUUCACUUCUUUUGUGAUUCUUCACUUGCUUCAGGCCAUCUGGAUGUAUACGUGCAGGUUUUGCAGUGAGUAAGUUGAGGCCUCGGUGAUUUUGGAGGAAGAGAAAUGCAAAGCCAGCAAUUGUUUGUUAAAGAAGGAUUAGAAACAGCUAGGAGAGACUGAGAGAGAUUGAUAGUGUGGUGGAGAUAGCUGGGGAGAAGUAGAGGGUGGCAUAAGAACGGGAAUGAGAAAAAGAAUGUGUAUAAAAGUAAAGAAUAGGACUUCAUCAGGGUGAAAGUACUGGAGUGUACCCUGUCAGCAAAGAUUAUCUACUUUAAGAGAGACUUAAGGGUGGAGGUUUGAGGUAAAACCAAGAGAUGUCAGUUAUGAUGGUUUGAAGGAAAAGUAUAAACUGGCAAUGUAAACAAGGGCAGGGUAUUUAUGAGUAGUUGAGAAUGGUGAAUAGGAGCAUGACUAGACAGAAGAUAGUAGGGAUGACAAGUUUUUGGGGUGCAGUUCAAGUUGGGGCAGUGUCAGGAAUGAGACUGGGGCCUAAUAAAAUGGAGUGUCCAUACAGGAGCUUAAAUGGGCUGUACCCUGUAGCACCCCAAGGACAGACCUGAAUUCUGAGAAGGGCAAGGGGUAAAAGUAUUGUCCAGUCCUUUUUAAGUUGGAGGCUGAGCUUGGUGAGGUGUGUUUUUAAAAGACCAUUAGUCUGUUUUACCUUUCCUGAAGACUGAGGAUGGUAAGUGGUAUGAGGGUUCCACUGAAUACCAACAGCCUGAGAAACUGCUUGGGUGAUUUGACUAAUAAAGGCUGGUCCGUUAUCGGACUGUAUAGAGGUGGGAAGGCCAAAUCGAGGAAUUAUAUCUGACAGAAGGGAAGAAAUGAUUGUGGUGGCCUUCUCAGACCCUGUGGGAAAGGCCUCUAAUCAUCCAGUGAAAGCGUCCACCCAGACCAAGAACUAUUUUAGUUUCCUGACUCCAGGCAUGUGAGUAAAGUCAAUUUGCCAGUCCUGGGCAGGGGUGAAUCCCCAAGCUUGAUGUGUAGGGAAGGGAGGUGGCCUGAGAAAUUCCUGAGGAGUAGUAGAAUAGCAGAUGGAACACUGAGAAGUGAUUUUUUGAGGAUAGAUUUUUAUGAUGGAGAGGGAAAGAGAGGUUUUAAGAGGCAGGCUAGCGGCUUGUAACUUGCAUGGAAGAGGUUAUGAAAUGAUGACAGAAUAGAAUGGGCCUGUGAGGCUAGAAGGAGAUAUUUUCCUUGGUCCAAGAACUAUUUGCCUUGUGUUGGAAGAGAUUGAUAGGUGGAAGUUUCAGUUGGGGAGUAGGUGGGAGUGACUGAUGAGAAGGAGAAAAACUGGCUGUGAGAGACAGAAGUUGGAAUGCUAGCUGCUUCUUUAGCUACUUUAUCAGCAUAAGUGUUGCCCUGAGCAAUGGGAUCUGAUGCCUUCUUGAUGGCCUUUGCAAUGAAUGACUCCAGCUUCCUUUGGAAGUAAAGCGGCCUUGAGAAGAGUUUUUAUUAAAGAGGCAUUAAGGAUGGAGGACUUUUGCGAAGUGAAGAAACCUCUUUUUGCCCAUUUAACAGAAUGGUGGUGCAGGAUAUGGAAGGCAUAUUUAGAGUCAGUAUAAAUAUUGACACGUAGUCCUUUUGCA
rnacentral:lncRNA from 1 species